rnacentral:misc_RNA from 1 species
UCCGAGUUGUCCCCGGCAGUCCUCUUAGAGUCCCCGGCAUUACCCGCUGGCAACUAAGAGCAGGGGUUGCGCUCGUUGCGGCACUUAAGCCAACACCUCACGACACGAGCUGACGACAGCCAUGCACCACCUGUACACCGACAAGAAGGGGCCCCAUCUCUGGGGCUUUCCGGCGUAUGUCAAACCCAGGUAAGGUUCUUCGCGUUGCAUCGAAUUAAUCCACAUGCUCCGCCGCUUGUGCGGGCCCCCGUCGAUUCCUUUGAGUUUCAGCCUUGCGGCCGUACUCCCCAGGCGGGGUGCUUAACGCGUUAGCUGCGACACUGAAGGGGUCGAUCCCCCCAGCACCUAGCACCCAUCGUUUACAGCGUGGACUAC